AUUGAACGCUGGCGGCAGGCCUAACACAUGCAAGUCGAGCGAGCGGCGGACGGGUGAGUAAUAUCUGGGGACUGCCCGAUAGAGGGGGAUAACUACUGGAAACGGUGGCUAAUACCGCAUACUAUCGGAUAACCCAUAGGGGAUUAGCUAGUAGGUGAGGUAAAGGCUCACCUAGUCGACGAUCUCUAGCUGGUCUGAGAGGGUGAUGAGCCACACUGGGACUGAGACACGGCCCAGACUCCUUCGGAGGCAGCAGUGGGGAAUAUUGCGCAAUGGGCGCAUGCCUGAUGCAGCCAUGCCUCGUGUAUGAAGAAGUCCUUAGGGUUGUAAAGUACUUUCAGCGGGGAGGCGUUACCCGCAGAAGAAGCACCGGCUAACUCCGUGCCAGCAGCCGCGGUAAUUC
rnacentral:rRNA from 1 species